GAAUUUUCCGCAAUGGGGGGAACCCUGACGGAGCAACGCCGCGUGAGGGAAGAAUGGUUGUGGCCAGUAAACCUCUUUUAAUAGGGAAGAAUAUUGACGGUACCUAUUGAAUAAGCAUCGGCUAACUCCGUGCCAGCAGCCGCGGUAAUACGGAGGAUGCAAGCGUUAUCCGGAAUUAUUGGGCGUAAAGGGUCCGCAGGUGGUUGAUCAAGUCAGCUGUUAAAUACUCAGGCUUAACUUGGGAUGUGCAGAUGAAACUGAUGGACUAGAGUACGGAAGGGGUAGAGGGAAUUCCUAGUGUAGCGGUGAAAUGCGUAGAUAUUAGGAAGAACACCAGUGGCGAA
rnacentral:rRNA from 1 species